GACACAGUGGCUAAGACUGGAUAGGAAGAUAAAAGGCAUCUUUUAUCUUUUAAAAGACCUAGUAAUAGGUAUGCUUUAGGAGGGGCUUGCGCCAUAUUAGUUAGUUGGUAGGGUAAUGGCCUACCAAGACGAUGAUGUGUAGCUGGACUGAGAGGUUGAACAGCCACAUUGGGACUGAGACACGGCCCAAAACUCCUACGGGAGGCAGCAGUAGGGAAUUUUCGGCAAUGGAGGAAACUCUGACCGAGCAACGCCGCGUGAAUGACGAAGUACUUCGGUAUGUAAAGUUCUUUUAUCAAGGAAGAAAAGCAAAUGGCGAACCAUUUGUUUGCCGGUACUUGAUGAAUAAGCCCCGGCUAAUUAUGUGCCAGCAGCCGCGGUAAGACAUAAGGGGCAAGUGUUAUCCGGAAUUAUUGGGCGUAAAGGGUGCGUAGGCGGUCUAGUAAGUCAGUGGUGUAAUGGCAACGCUUAACGUUGUCCGGCUAUUGAAACUGCUAAACUUGAGUUAGAUAGAGGCGAGUGGAAUUCCAUGUGUAGCGGUAAAAUGCGUAAAUAUAUGGAGGAACACCAGAGGCGUAGGCGGCUCGCUGGGUCUUAACUGACGCUGAGGCACGAAAGCGUGGGGAGCAAACAGGAUUAGAUACCCUGGUAGUCCACGCCGUAAACGAUGAGUACUAAGUGUCGGGUUAAACCGGUACUGAAGUUAACACAUUAAGUACUCCGCCUGAGUAGUACGUACGCAAGUAUGAAACUUAAAGGAAUUGACGGGACUCCGCACAAGCGGUGGAUCAUGUUGUUUAAUUCGAAGAUACCCGAAAAACCUUACCAGGUCUUGACAUGUUUUUGCAAAAUGAUAGUAAUAUCGUGGAGGUUACCAGAAACACAGGUGGUGCAUGGUUGUCGUCAGCUCGUGUCGUGAGAUGUUAGGUUAAGUCCUAAAACGAGCGAAACCCUUAUCGUUAGUUGCCAGCACGUUAUGGUGGGGGACUUUAACGAGACUGCCAAUGAUAAAUUGGAGGAAGGUGAGGAUCACGUCAAAUCAGCAUGCCCCUUAUGACCUGGGGCUACAAACGUGAUACAAUGGGCUGUUACAAAGGGUAGCUGAAACGCAAGUUCUUGGCCAAUCCCCAAAAACAGUCCCAGUCCGGAUUGAAGUCUGCAACUCGACUUCAUGAAGUCGGAAUCGCUGGUAAUCGCGAAUCAGCAUGUCGCGGUGAAUACGUUCUCGGGGUUUGUCCAGCACC
rnacentral:rRNA from 1 species